rnacentral:rRNA from 1 species
GUUGACCUCGGAUCAGGCAGGGAUACCCGCUGAACUUAAGCAUAUCAA